UGACAGAUGGAUCACCUGGUGCGA
rnacentral:piRNA from 1 species